AUUGAACGCUUGCGGCAGGCUUAACACAUGCAAGUCGAGCGGAGAUGAGGUGCUUGCACCUUAUCUUAGCGGCGGACGGGUGAGUAAUGCUCAGGAAUCUGCCUAUUAGUGGGGGACAACAUUCCGAAAGGAAUGCUAAUACCGCAUACGACCUACGGGAGAAAGCAGGGGAUCUUCGGACCUUGCGCUCAUAGAUGAGCCUACGGCGGAUUAGCUAGAUGGUGGGGUAAAGGCCUACCAAGGCGACGAUCUGUAGCGGGUCUGAGAGGAAGAGCAGCCGCACUGAGACUGAGACACGGCCCAGACGCCUACGGGAGGCAGCAGUGCGGAUAAUUGGACAAUGGGGGGAACCCUGAUCCAGCCAUGCCGAGUGUGGGAAGAAGGCCUUAUGGUUGUAAAGCACUUUAAGCGAGGAGGAGGCUACUGAGACUAAUACUCUUGGAAAGUGGACGUUACUCGCAGAAUAAGCACCGGCUAACUCUGUGCCAGCCGCCGCCGUAAGAC
rnacentral:rRNA from 1 species